CUUGACUGUAGCUUGGAAUUGGGUUCGGGCUCUUCUUGCGCAGCCUAGGUGGGAGGCGUUGAAAGCUUUCUUUUGGGGAAGCUGGAGCCAUCAGUGAGAGACCACUCUGGAGGAGCUAGAAUUCUAAUGGCGUUCCUUGAAGCAGGACGCUUGACGUUUUCAGGUGGGCAGUUUGACUGGGGCGGUCACCUCCUAAAAGGUAACGGAGGUGUGCAAAGGUUCCCUCAGGCUGGACGGAAAUCAGCCGUAGAGUGUAAAGGCAGAAGGGAGCUUGACUGCGAGACCUACAAGUCGAGCAGGGGCGAAAGCCGGCCUUAGUGAUCCGACGGUUCCAUGUGGAAGGGCCGUCGCUCAACGGAUAAAAGUUA
rnacentral:rRNA from 1 species